UACGGGGGGAGCAAGCGUUGUUCGGAUUUACUGGGCGUAAAGGGCGCGUAGGCGGCCACCGCAAGUCACUUGUGAAAUCUCCGGGCUUAGCCCGGAAAGGUCAACUGAUACUGCGGGGCUAGAGUGCAGAAGGGGCAACUGGAAUUCUCGGUGUAGCGGUGAAAUGCGUAGAUAUCGAGAGGAACACCUGCGGCGAAAGCGGCUCACUGGACCACAACUGACGCUGAGGCGCGAAAGCUAGGGGAGCAAACAGG
rnacentral:rRNA from 1 species